rnacentral:lncRNA from 1 species
UGUCAGUAACUUUGCUCCUGUGCUGGCAUUAAAAAGAAUAAAUACGGGAGCAACCACAAUAGAGAAUAGGUUUGUGGUAGAAAAAUAGAAAAAGCGGUGCUAACCUACAAAUCUUCAACACGGUUGUUCAUUUUCCUGGUAAAUAGAUAAAUGUUAACAUUGUUUGCUAUUUGUGUUGCAUCCCAGUUUUACUAUAUCAAGUAAAUUUAUGCUUUAUCUGUACAAUUCUAUUUUCCUGUACUUGUUCAUCUCAAAUCUGCUCGUGUGUGAAUGAUGCAUUUUAGUAACUUUGGUUUGUUGGUGUACUGCUCCUGUUCUUGGUGUUUUGGUACUCUAAUUUGGAACUUCUGUUUCACUGUUACCUAAUCAGGAGAACCAAGUUGAAGGGUUGGAUAAUCUUAGGGUCUUGAAGUUUAGGACACUUCACUAAAAAGCUCAGUACCUGCAGUUCCAAGAAAGUAAACUGCAACAGGCCGCCGAGCAACAGUAGUGUUUCCCAGUUAUAUAUGUAAAACUAGCUCUCAAAGUAUUAAAGCUGCUGGUAUACAUCCAUUUUAAUUUUAAGUGCACAGCUUGAGGGCAGUGCCAAGAUCUGUGUGCCAUGCAUUUCUUCAUAAAUCAUAAUAAACAUUAUACUAUUUUAAUACAGAUUAAAAAGCAUAUAUGUAGCUGUUAUGCUAUACCACAACAGAAAUAAGCACUAAUACUUCAGAAACCAAAAUAUAGUGUACAAAAAGUAUUUUAACAGAGAACAAUAGGAAGUGUCAUAGUAUAUGGAUUAUAUUCCCAAAAUGGUGGCAUCUAGGGCAAACAAUUUGUGCAUCGUAAUACUCAGGGUCAACAAUAGGAAGUGUCACAGUAUAUUUUCUGAAUUUCGGAUUCACAAACUGUUGUCGUAGGUUGUGUUCUUUAUCUGGUCCAUGUGCCUAAUGUCUGACAUAAAAGGAUGAUCUCAUUUCUGACUUUGUAAUUCUCAUCUCAGGAUCCAGUAAUGGUUGCAAUGACCGCAGCAUGUGCACCAGCACUAUCAGGUGAGAACAUUGGUCUAAGUACACUUAUGUACCUAACAUUCUGUUAGUCCCUUGUGUGAUGUUGUUUGCAAGAAAAUUGUUUGUAGCUGUGGAAUCGGUCAACAGCAUUAAAAAUCAAGAUUACAGCGAUGCUACCUCAUUUGCAGCGAUUAAUUCCCCCAUGCUUCUAAUUGAUGACUUCAGUACUCCAAAACAGAAACAAUCAUUCUCUACACUGCUCACAACCCGCAAUACCGGUUGAAUGUGCAUGGCAUCUGUCUAAUAGUAGUUGAAUUUUAGUUUGCUUCAAAAUAUAUUACUAACAUGUGACAGAAAGUGAGAUCUCAUAAGUAAAUAACAUGUAGUAUUUUACAGAUCAAUAAGGUAUUAUGUUUGUGACACAAGGUCGAUGGUAUUAAACUUCCAAUUUGUCCUGCAGGGUUCUCUGUAUAAGCCCCAGUGUAAUAGCUUGUAAUAAUAUGCAUCUGCAAGGCAGUCAUAAAACUCCCUUUAAAUUGCCUGAUGCCACUUGUUUGUCUUUCUCAUUUAUGCUUUCAACUAAUCCUUGAAAUUGUAAUACAUUGAUCGUAGGUCUAUGCAUGCCCGUGUAAGCUUUAACCCUGUGUGAAUCUGUAGCCUACAUUCCUAUUUUUCUCAAGGUAACCCAGAUUUACUUUUUGCAUGCCCAAUAUGUUUGUAUCCAUGUCCAAUAAUUGUCCUUUUUAGACGGGUAAAGUCAAAUUUAUAAUUGUAACCUUGGGUCAUAAUCUCUAACCUUCACCACUAUGAAACCUUUAUGAGCUGGUUUUUAUGCAAGCAGCUAAGGUCCAUUCAAUGGUAUGAACAUGAAUGUUUGUCAGUUGUUAGAUUUUUUUUUUGAGUUAGAACAUAUGCGUCUUAUACUGAUCUCUUGCGAAAAAUGAGUUCUAUGUUGUACUCUCUGUUAGAUUUAUCCUGCUAUCACAUGCCAUUUUUAUUUGAUUUGAAAACUCCCAUGUAGAAGCUGGAAUGUCAGCAUCGACCUCAUGCGUACUCGGAAUUUUAUCUUAAGUUUGACAUCUAGGUUAUGUAUCCUUGGUUGGAGCGGUGAAUGAGGUUGGACAUAAUGAAUGUCUCUCUCCUCAAGAUAUGGUAUUUGGUAUAUGUUUCUAACUGACACCUACUCCCUCCGUUCCAAAAUAGAUGACCCAACUUUGUACUAAAGUUAGUACAAAAUUGAGUCAUCUUUUUUGGAACGGAGGGAGUACUUAUUUGGUGUUCUUAGCUAGGUACAUUGAACUGAUCAAGUGUAUCAGAGUCCAUGGAGGUAAAAAACUCCCAUGUAGAAGCUGGAAUGCAAGUGGAUGAAGCUCGAUUAACAGGAAGCACUAAAACAGGACACAAAAUUAUACUCCCUCCCCAAAAUGUAAGGCGCCGAUUGACUUUUCUGGUCUUUGUUACACAACUUCUAUGAUUUUCAUGUGGUAUAUGUCUACAGAAUUAAUAUACAGACAUAUGAAAAAACAAAUGUGACGAUGCCAUUUAUACAUGUAAUGCACUUGGUAUAUAUUAGUGGUCAAAGUCGUGCAUCAAAGACCAUGUAAAGUCAAUUGCGCCUUAUAUUUUGGGAAGGAGGGAGUACUCGUAGAUCGUUUCUGUCAUGUACUAUCAAGAUGCCUGUUGGACGGUGAUAGUUUCAGUUCUUUACACCCGGUCCUGCUGGCCAUGUACUAAAAGCGAUCUAUGUAUACCUCGUGUUAUAUUCUCGUAUACUCAAAUGCUUGAUGAGCGGUGAUAGUUCCACUCCUCAAUUUGCUCAUGCACUUAGAUACUUCUAGUUGGACAUGUAUAUGUAGUUCUGCUUGAUAUGGGAUGGCUUAGUUCUCUCAUGUGCUAAACAAUUUGUGAUAUAUAUUAACGUUUUCUUAGCAGUAACCAAGAUAUCCGACCGUCUUGAAAAUUUAGUGAUGUCUCGGAGGCUAAAAUAGACACUUAAAUGUGUAUGGAUUUCAUGAAGAAAUAUUUGGAAAGAUUUUUGUAUCAAACUAUGAUGAGAUGGGCAUCAGCGCUUUGCAUAUGAAAAUUAUCUGAAAAUGGUCAU